CAAUGUACAGAAUUGCAAAGCAAAUAAGUCAUUCGCAUCACUCGGAACUUUUUACUGGUCAGCAAUAUCAAAGAGAUGAAGAAUGGCUAAAUAUUGUGGAAACAUAUUAUAACCUACAUCAAAUUAAGGGCCUAGAGAGGUCGAGGAAUUGAAGUAUAGCUUUGAAAACUUAAGUAAAGCUACUAAAUUGAAAACAGUAUGGAUAAGUGAAUAAUACAAAUUUUAAAUAAGUACUCACAGACCUUUUGAUGACGUCGAUCGCUGGCCAGUGAUGACGGCCUGUGGCUAAAUGAUCCUGAUAAUAAUUAAAUAA